GCUCGCUUAGCUCAGUGGUAGAGCAUUGUACUUAUGAGGUUGAGAUAAUUCCUGCGCAUAUUAUGCAAGGGUCGGCAGUUCGACCCUGCCAGUGAGCA
rfam:Lentinula edodes NBRC 111202 DNA, contig: scaffold660.